AGCGAACGUUAGCGGCGCGCCUAACACAUGCAAGUCGCACGAGAAAGGGCUUCGGCCCCGGUAAAGUGGCGCACGGGUGAGUAACACGUGGGCAACCUGCCCAACCCUGGGGGAUAACCUGCCGAAAGGCGGGCUAAUACCGCGUACGAGGGCUUCACUUCGGUGGAGUUCUGAAAGCAGGCCUCUGUAUACAAGCUUGCGGGGUUGGAUGGGCCCGCGGUCCAUCAGCUAGUUGGUGAGGUAACGGCUCACCAAGGCUACGACGGAUAGCUGGUCUGAGAGGAUGGUCAGCCACACUGGAACUGAGACACGGUCCAGACUCCUACGGGAGGCAGCAGUGGGGAAUCUUGCGCAAUGGGCGAAAGCCUGACGCAGCGACGCCGCGUGGGUGACGAAGGCCUUCGGGUUGUAAAGCCCUGUGGGGCGAGACGAGCAGCUUGGGAACGAACAGCUCCUGAGUCCGACGGUAUCGCCUUAGCAAGCACCGGCUAACUCUGUGCCAGCAGCCGCCGUAACAC
rnacentral:rRNA from 1 species